AGAAUUUUAUGACAGUUUCAUAGAUAUUAAUUAUUCAACAUCAUUUUAUAUCAUUUUAUCAUAUAUCACAUUACAAUUGUUUAAUUUAAAAAUUUAAAGGAGAAACCAAAUCUGUCGGAUUUUGAAAUAAAAUAUCUAUUGGGAAUUAAAAUAAAAAAAAGACCAAAAUUAUAAUUAAGUAAAGAAAAACAAUUAUACUAUCUAAAAAAUGCGACUCUUUCUUGAAAUGAAAAUUUAUUACAUCCACAAAGUAAUAUUAAAAGUUUGUAUCUUGUCAAUGAUAUGGCAAGUGUGAGAAUGUGAAAUAGACAUACACGCUUGUGCUUAUAACAAGUUCAAUUAGGUAAAGUUAUUCAACUCUUUUACAUGGAUAAUGUAGUUGUAGCAUUACAUGGAUAACUUCUUCCACGAAAAGCAAUUCCAUCACCUUGAUUUUGUUGCUGAGGGGAAGAAGCAUUCCCACUUGUUUCUUGUGCAUUGUGUUAGAUAAUAUUAUUAUAUAUUAGUAGUAAGGGUAUUUUAGACAAUUCUAGACAAUUCUAUUUUCUUAUAUAUAUACUCAGUGUAACCCUAUUAACUUCAGUUUUGGUUUAUUAUAUGAUAUGAAACCCUAGAGUGGUUGUUUUCUCUUCUUCCUCUUUCUUCCUCUUUUCAUUGUUAACAUGGUAUCUAGAGCCUAUUUCGAUCCUCAUUGAACGAUCCCGCCUCUAUUCCGCUGUCGAGUUCCCAACAAUUAGGGAAUAUAAUUAUAGUUUAUCUUUUCUAACAUUCCAAUAUUCAGUGAGAUUUUCCGUGUCCCAAUUCUGCUUUACN
rnacentral:lncRNA from 1 species